rnacentral:misc_RNA from 1 species
AGCAGCCGCGGUAAUUCCAGCUCCAAUAGCGUAUAUUAAAGUUGUUGCAGUUAAAAGGCUCGUAGUUGAACUUCGGGGUUUACUCAUUGGUCAGGCUUAAUUGUCGGUACUGGUGAGAUGAAUCUCUACCUUCUGAGGAACUUUCAUGCCAUUUAUUUGGUGUGGUUGGAAAUCAGGACUGUUACUUUGAAAAAAUUAGAGUGUUUAAAGCAGGCUAACGUCUGAAUACAUUAGCAUGGAAUAAUGAAAUAGGACGGAUUGAUUCUAUUUCGUUGGUUUCUAGGGUCACCGUAAUGAUUAAUAGGGAUAGUUGGGGGCAUUAGUAUUCAAUUGUCAGAGGUGAAAUUCUUGGAUUUAUUGAAGACUAACUACUGCGAAAGCAUUUGCCAAGGAUGUUUUUCAUUAAUCAAGAACGAAAGUUAGGGGAUCGAAGACGAUCAGAUACCGUCGUAGUCUUAACCAUAAACUAUGCCGACUAGGGAUCGGACGCAGUUAAUUUUAUAAUGACGUGUUCGGCACC